rnacentral:rRNA from 1 species
AAGUCGUACAGGUUUCCGUAGGUGAACCUGCGGAAGGAUCAUUAUUGAUUGGUCGAAAGACCUUAUCAGAUUCUACCACCUCUGUGAACCGUUGACCUCCGGGUUAAUAAUCAAACAUCAGUGUAACGAACGUAAGAGUAUCUUAAUUAAACAAAACUUUUAACAACGGAUCUCUUGGCUCUCGCAUCGAUGAAGAACGCAGCGAAAUGCGAUAAGUAAUGUGAAUUGCAGAAUUCAGUGAAUCAUCGAAUCUUUGAACGCACCUUGCGCCUUUUGGUAUUCCGAAAGGCAUGCCUGUUUCAGUGUCAUGAAAUCUCAAUCUAAUAUGUUUUCUGAACAUGUUAGGCUUGGACUUGGGUGUCUGCCAGCAAUGGCUCACCUCAAAUGACUUAGUGGAACAUCCCACAUCAGUGUUAGACGUAAUAAGUUUCGUCUCUCCUUGUGGUGAUGACUGCUCAAAACCUGCCAUCGCGCACCUUUUGACUUUGACCUGAAAUCAGGUAGGGCUACCCGCUGAACUUAAGC